AUAUCAAUAAGCGGAGGAAAAGAAACCAACAGGGAUUGCCUCAGUAACGGCGAGUGAAGCGGCAACAGCUCAAAUCUGAAAUCUGGCUCCUUCGGGGUCCGAGUUGUAAUUUGUAGAGGGUGCUUCGAGUGAAGCCCCGGCCCAAGUCCCUUGGAACAGGACGUCAGAGAGGGUGAGAACCCCGUGUCCGGCCGGCUGCGCUCGUCGUGUGAAGCCCAUUUGCAUGAGUCGAGUUGUUUGGGAAUGCAGCUCUAAAUUGGUGGUAAAUUCCAUCUAAAGCUAAAUACCGGCCAGAGACCGAUAGCGCACAAGUAGAGUGAUCGAAUGAUGAAAAGCACUUUCGAAAAGAGAGUUAAAAAGUACGUGAAAUUGUUGAAAGGGAAGCGCUUGCGGCCAGACUUGCCCGCGGAGGUUCAGUCCGUCUUGCUUGUGUCGGGUGCACUCCUCCGCGGUCAGGCCAGCAUCGGUUUGGGCGGUGGGACAAAGGCCUAGGGAACGUAGCCCCCUCCGGGGGGUGUUAUAGCCCUGGGUGCAAUGCGGCCAGCCCGGACCGAGGAUCGCGCUCUGCUAGGAUGCUGGCGUAAUGGCCGUAAGCGGCCCGUCUUGAAACACGGACCAAGGAGUCUAACAUCUAUGCGAGUGUUUGGGUGUCAAACCCGUGCGCGUAAUGAAAGUGAACGGAGGUGGGAGCCUUAGGGUGCACCAUCGACCGAUCCUGAUGUCUUCGGAAGGAUUUGAGUAAGAGCAUAGCUGUUGGGACCCGAAAGAUGGUGAACUAUGCCUAGAUAGGGUGAAGCCAGAGGAAACUCUGGUGGAGGCUCGCAGCGGUUCUGACGUGCAAAUCGAUCG
rnacentral:rRNA from 1 species